UACGGAGGGGGCUAGCGUUGUUCGGAAUUACUGGGCGUAAAGCGCGCGUAGGCGGCUUUGUAAGUUAGAGGUGAAAGCCCGGAGCUCAACCCCGGAACUGCCUUUAAGACUGCAUCGCUUGAAUCCAGGAGAGGUGAGUGGAAUUCCGAGUGUAGAGGUGAAAUUCGUAGAUAUUCGGAAGAACACCAGUGGCGAAGGCGGCUCACUGGCCUGGUAUUGACGCUGAGGUGCGAAAGCGUGGGGAGCAAACAGG
rnacentral:rRNA from 1 species